rnacentral:rRNA from 1 species
UCCCGUUCUUUUUCAUAAGAAUGGGUUCUAUUCCCUUAAACCGUGUCUACAUACCUUUGUUGCUUUGGCAGGCCGCCUUCGGGCGUCGGCUCCGGCUGAUAGUGCCUGCCAGAGGACCCAAACUCUAUGUUUAGUGAUGUCUGAGUACUAUAUAAUAUUUAAAACUUUCAACAACGGAUCUCUUGGUUCUGGCAUCGAUGAAGAACGCAGCGAAAUGCGAUAAGUAAUGUGAAUUGCAGAAUUCAGUGAAUCAUCGAAUCUUUGAACGCACAUUGCGCCCCUUGGUAUUCCGAGGGGCAUGCCUGUUCGAGCGUCAUUAUAACCACUCAAGCCUGGCUUGGUAUUGGGGUUUUCGCGUGUUCGCGGCCCUUAAAAUCAGUGGCGGUGCCGUCUGGCUCUAAGCGUAGUAAUUUCUCUCGCUAUAGGGUUCCGGUGGUUACUUGCCAAAACCCCCCAUUUUUUCUAGGUUGACCUCGGAUCAGGUAGGGAACCC